UAGGGAAUCUUCGGCAAUGGACGAAAGUCUGACCGAGCAACGCCGCGUGAGUGAAGAAGGUUUUCGGAUCGUAAAACUCUGUUGUUAGAGAAGAACAAGGACGUUAGUAACUGAACGUCCCCUGACGGUAUCUAACCAGAAAGCCACGGCUAACUACGUGCCAGUAGCCGCGGUAAUACGUAGGUGGCAAGCGUUGUCCGGAUUUAUUGGGCGUAAAGCGAGCGCAGGCGGUUUCUUAAGUCUGAUGUGAAAGCCCCCGGCUCAACCGGGGAGGGUCGUUGGAAACUGGGAGACUUGAGUGCAGAAGAGGAGAGUGGAAUUCCAUGUGUAGCGGUGAAAUGCGUAGAUAUAUGGAGGAACACCAGUGGCGAAGGCGGCUCUCUGGUCUGUAACUGACGCUGAGGCUCGAAAGCGUGGGGAGCAAACAGG
rnacentral:rRNA from 1 species